AUUGAACGCUGGCGGCAGGCUUAACACAUGCAAGUCGAACGAAGGCUUCGGCCUUAGUGGCGCACGGGUGCGUAACGCGUGGGAAUCUGCCCUUGGGUUCGGAAUAACAGCGGGAAACUGCUGCUAAUACCGGAUGAUGUCGAUAAGACCAAAGAUUUAUCGCCUGAGGAUGAGCCCGCGUUGGAUUAGGUAGUUGGUGGGGUAAAGGCCUACCAAGCCGACGAUCCAUAGCUGGUCUGAGAGGAUGAUCAGCCACACUGGGACUGAGACACGGCCCAGACUCCUACGGGAGGCAGCAGUGGGGAAUAUUGGACAAUGGGCGAAAGCCUGAUCCAGCAAUGCCGCGUGAGUGAUGAAGGCCUUAGGGUUGUAAAGCUCUUUUACCCGGGAUGAUAAUGACAGUACCGGGAGAAUAAGCCCCGGCUAACUCCGUGCCAGCCGCCGCCGUAAUAC
rnacentral:rRNA from 1 species